UACAGAGGUCUCAAGCGUUGUUCGGAAUCACUGGGCGUAAAGGGUGCGUAGGCGGCGUGGAAAGUCAGGUGUGAAAUCCGGAGGCUCAACCUCCGAAUUGCAUCCGAUACUUCCAUGCUAGAGAGUUGUAGAGGAGCUUGGAAUUCUCGGUGUAGCAGUGAAAUGCGUAGAUAUCGAGAAGAACGCUCGCAGCGAAGGCGAAGCUCUGGGCAACAUCUGACGCUGAGGCACGAAGGCUGGGGGAGCGAACGGG
rnacentral:rRNA from 1 species